GUGACUGGCGGAACCGACGAUGGAGUGACCCGACUUGUCGCACAAGCUGCAAAUGAGUUCAACAGACGUUCCAAGACAAAGACAAACAACGAUGAAUGUCCAACUAUUGGAAUAGUCUGUUUGGACCGAUUACGAAAUGAGGACACAAUAAAGCCUUGGGAACUGACCAGAGGAGUGUUCGGCAUUGACUCAGAUGGUGAGCUGUUUACAAUCGAUGACAACGGUGAAAGGUGGACGUUAAACCUAGCUUCAUUGACCGAAGUUAAUGCUCAAAGAGACGGUAACACUUCGACUAGCGCUUUAGCGAGUGAUACUCAUGCCAAUUCAAGUUCUCCUCGCUUUGCUGUUGGCGACUUGGUGAAGAUAAGAAAGAAGGCG